rnacentral:rRNA from 1 species
GAUGAACGCUGGCGGCGUGCCUAAUACAUGCAAGUAGAACGCUGAAGGAGGAGCUUGCUCUUCUGGAUGAGUUGCGAACGGGUGAGUAACGCGUAGGUAACCUGCCUGGUAGCGGGGGAUAACUAUUGGAAACGAUAGCUAAUACCGCAUGACAACAGUUAUUGCAUGAUAACUGUUUAAAAGGGGCAACUGCUCCACUACCAGAUGGACCUGCGUUGUAUUAGCUAGUUGGUGAGGUAACGGCUCACCAAGGCGACGAUACAUAGCCGACCUGAGAGGGUGAUCGGCCACACUGGGACUGAGACACGGCCCAGACUCCUACGGGAGGCAGCAGUAGGGAAUCUUCGGCAAUGGACGGAAGUCUGACCGAGCAACGCCGCGUGAGUGAAGAAGGUUUUCGGAUCGUAAAGCUCUGUUGUAAGAGAAGAACGAGUGUGAGAGUGGAAAGUUCACACUGUGACGGUAUCUUUCCAGAAAGGGACGGCUAACUACGUG